rnacentral:rRNA from 1 species
AACGAACGCUGGCGGCAGGCUUAACACAUGCAAGUCGAACGGAUCCUUCGGGAUUAGUGGCAGACGGGUGAGUAACGCGUGGGAACGUACCCUUUUCUACGGAAUAACUCAGGGAAACUUGAGCUAAUACCGUAUGUGCCCUACGGGGGAAAGAUUUAUCGGCAAAGGAUCGGCCCGCGUUGGAUUAGCUAGUUGGUGGGGUAAUGGCCUACCAAGGCGACGAUCCAUAGCUGGUCUGAGAGGAUGAUCAGCCACACUGGGACUGAGACACGGCCCAGACUCCUACGGGAGGCAGCAGUGGGGAAUAUUGGACAAUGGGCGCAAGCCUGAUCCAGCCAUGCCGCGUGAGUGAUGAAGGUCUUAGGAUUGUAAAGCUCUUUCACCGGUGAAGAUAAUGACGGUAGCCGGAGAAGAAGCCCCGGCUAACUUCGUG